rnacentral:rRNA from 1 species
AUUGAACGCUGGCGGCAGGCCUAACACAUGCAAGUCGAACGGUAACAGGAAGAAGCUUGCUUCUUUGCUGACGAGUGGCGGACGGGUGAGUAAUGUCUGGGAAACUGCCUGAUGGAGGGGGAUAACUACUGGAAACGGUAGCUAAUACCGCAUAACGUCGCAAGACCAAAAAGGGGGACCUUCGGGCCUCUUGCCAUCGGAUGUGCCCAGAUGGGAUUAGCUAGUAGGUGGGGUAACGGCUCACCUAGGCGACGAUCCCUAGCUGGUCUGAGAGGAUGACCCGCCACACUGGAACUGAGACACGGUCCAGACUCCUACGGGAGGCAGCAGUGGGGAAUAUUGCACAAUGGGCGAAAGCCUGAUGCAGCCAUGCCGCGUGUAUGAAGAAGGCCUUCGGGUUGUAAAGUACUUUCAGCGGGGAGGAAGGGAGUAAAGUUAAUACCUUUGCUCAUUGACGUUACCCGCAGAAGAAGCACCGGCUAACUCCG